rnacentral:rRNA from 1 species
AUUGAACGCUGGCGGCAGGCUCAACACAUGCAAGUCGAACGGUAACAGGCCGCAAGGUGCUGACGAGUGGCGAACGGGUGAGUAAUGCAUCGGAACGUGCCCAGUCGUGGGGGAUAACGCAGCGAAAGCUGCGCUAAUACCGCAUACGAUCUAUGGAUGAAAGCGGGGGACCGUAAGGCCUCGCGCGAUUGGAGCGGCCGAUGUCAGAUUAGGUAGUUGGGGGGGUAAAGGCUCACCAAGCCAACGAUCUGUAGCUGGUCUGAGAGGACGACCAGCCACACUGGGACGGAGAAACGGCCCAGAGUCCUACGGGAGGCAGCAGUGGGGAAUUUUGGACAAUGGGCGCAAGCCUGAUCCAGCAAUGCCGCGUGCAGGAAGAAGGCCUUCGGGUUGUAAACUGCUUUUGUACGGAACGAAAAGGCUCUGGUUAAUACCUGGGGCUCAUGACGGUACCGUAAGAAUAAGCACCGGCUAACUACGUGCCAGCCGCCGCGGUAACAC